GAUGAACGCUGGCGGCGUGCCUAAUACAUGCAAGUCGAGCGAACAGACGAGGAGCUUGCUCCUCUGACGUUAGCGGCGGACGGGUGAGUAACACGUGGAUAACCUACCUAUAAGACUGGGAUAACUUCGGGAAACCGGAGCUAAUACCGGGUAAUAUAUUGAACCGCAUGGUUAAAUAGUGAAAGACGGUUUUGCUGUCACUUAUAGAUGGAUCCGCGCCGCAUUAGCUAGUUGGUAAGGUAACGGCUUACCAAGGCAACGAUGCGUAGCCGACCUGAGAGGGUGAUCGGCCACACUGGAGCUGAGACACGGUCCAGACUCCUACGGGAGGCAGCAGUAGGGAAUCUUCCGCAAUGGGCGAAAGCUUGACGGAGCAACGCCGCGUGAGUGAUGAAGGUCUUCGGAUCGUAAAACUCUGUUAUUAGGGAAGAACAAAUGUGUAAGUAACUAUGCACGUCUUGACGGUACCUAAUCAGAAAGCCACGGCUAACUACGUG
rnacentral:rRNA from 1 species